rnacentral:rRNA from 1 species
GAUGAACGCUGGCGGCGUGCUUAACACAUGCAAGUCGAACGGAAAGGCCCAAGCUUGCUUAGGUACUCGAGUGGCGAACGGGUGAGUAACACGUGGGUGAUCUGCCCUGCACUUCGGGAUAAGCCUUGGAAACUGGGUCUAAUACCGGAUAGGACGAUGGUUUGGAUGCCAUUGUGGAAAGUUUUUUCGGUGUGGGAUUAGCUCGCGGCCUAUCAGCUUGUUGGUGGGGUAAUGGCCUACCAACGCGUCGACGGGUAGCCGGCCUGAGAGAGUGUACGGCCACAUUGAGACUGAGAUACGGCCCAGACUCCUACGGGAGGCAGAAGUGGGGAAUAUUGCACAAUGGGCGCAAGCCUGAUGCAGCGACGCCGCGUGGGGGAUGACGGCCUUCGGGUUGUAGACUCCUUUCGCGAGGGACGAAGCGUUUUUGUGACGGUACCUGGAGAAGAAGCACCGGCUAACUACGUG